AUUGAACGCUGGCGGCAGGCUUAACACAUGCAAGUCGAGCGGGGACUUCGGUCCUAGCGGCGAACGGGUGAGGAAUGCUUGGGAAUCUGCCCAGUAGCGGGGGAUAACGUUUCGAAAGGAACGCUAAUACCGCAUACGCCCUACGGGGGAAAGGGGGGGAUCUUCGGACCUCUCACUAUUGGAUGAGCCCAAGUCGGAUUAGCUAGUUGGUGGGGUAAAGGCCUACCAAGGCGACGAUCCGUAGCUGGUCUGAGAGGAUGAUCAGCCACACUGGAACUGAGACACGGUCCAGACUCCUACGGGAGGCAGCAGUGGGGAAUAUUGGACAAUGGGCGAAAGCCUGAUCCAGCCAUGCCGCGUGUGUGAAGAAGGCCUUCGGGUUGUAAAGCACUUUAAGCGAGGAGGAAUGGCUCUUGGCUAAUAACCUUGAGCAGUGACGUUACUCGCAGAAUAAGCACCGGCUAACUCUGUGCCAGCAGCCGCAGUAACAC
rnacentral:rRNA from 1 species